CUAUGUUGCCUUGGUUGGUUGACUACUUCUGUUGGGGGGAAAUAUUAACGACCUCCUUAUGCCCCUUAAGACAACAAUCAUGAAGGCCCAGGCCCACCUGCGGUAAUGAUGAUCACCGACGACUCGGCAUGGGCAAGGAGCAUCCCACUCCAUCUCGCCCGACCCAGGGCCCCGGGGUCGGACACGCCCGACCCCUCGAUGGCGAAACUCCACCUCGCCCGACCCACGGUCCCAGGGUCGGGAGCGCCCAACCCCGGGCGUAGGGGGUCGGACUCAUCUGGGCCCACAAGACAAGGGUCCGCCUCGGGCGCAGACCGGCAGACGAGGGCGCGGAUCUCGUGGGCUUCCCGCCAAUCUUGCCAUAAAUGCGCCGCGGUUC
rnacentral:lncRNA from 1 species